rnacentral:rRNA from 1 species
GACGAACGCUGGCGGCGUGCUCAACACAUGCAAGUGGAGCGACGAACCAGGGCUUGCCCUGGGGCAGAGCCGCGAACGGGUGAGUAACACGUGGGUAACGUGCCCCGAUGACUGGGACAACCCGGGGAAACCCGGGCUAAUACCGGAUGUGCCCCCUCACAUCAGUGAGGUGUGUAAAGGAAGCUUCGGCCUCCGCAUCGGGAUCGGCCCGCGGCCCAUUAGCUUGUUGGUGAGGUAACGGCUCACCAAGGCUGCGAUGGGUAGCUGGUCUGAGAGGACGAUCAGCCACACUGGGACUGAGACACGGCCCAGACUCCUACGGGAGGCAGCAGUGGGGAAUCUUGCGCAAUGCGCGAAAGCGUGACGCAGCAACGCCGCGUGGGGGAAGACGGCCUUCGGGUUGUAAACCCCUUUCAGUUGGGACGAAGGUCGGGCGGUUAACAGCCGUUCCGGCUGACGGUACCUUCACAAGAAGCCCCGGCGAACUACGU